AUACGGAGGAUGCAAGCGUUACCCGGAUUUAUUGGGUUUAAAGGGUGCGUAGGCGGACAGUCAAGCAGGGGGUGAAAUGCCGGCGCUCAACGCCGGAGCUGCCUUCUGAACUGGCUGUCUGGAGUGGCAGUGCCGUUGGAGGAAUGAGUGGUGUAGCGGGGAAAUGCUUAGAUAUCACUCAGAACACCGAUUGCGAAGGCAUCUGACGAACUGCCCACUGACGCUGAGGCACGAAAGCGUGGGGAUCAAACAGGAUUAGAUACCCUGGUAGUCCACGCAGUAAACGAUGAUGACUAACUGCCGGCCCGUUGCGGGUCGGUGGCCAAGCGAAAGCGAUAAGUCAUCCACCUGGGGAGUACGACCGCAAGGUUGAAACUCAAAGGAAUUGACGGGG
rnacentral:rRNA from 1 species